GCCCCUACCUCCUCCCCACAAAAGAUUCUUAAAGUAAUAUAAUAAGGCCAUAAUGGUUUAUUUUCCAGUAGUAAGUGAAAACACCUUAAAUUCAUUAGAGUAUUUGUAGGGAAGGGCUUCACAAGUGGUGCUAGUGAUAAAGAACCCACCUGUCUAUGCAGGAGACAGAAGAGAAGCAGGUUCAAUCCCUGUGUUGGGAAGAUUCUCUGGAGGAGGAAAUGGCAGCCCACUCCAGUAUUUUUGCUUGGAGAAUUCCAUGGACAGAGGAGACUGGCGGCCUACAGUCCACGGGGUCGCAAAGAGUCGGACAUGAGUGAAGCAACUUAGCACAUUUAGGGCAAAGGGAGAUUAGUCUUGGUGGUGGCGGGGCAGGAAGGGUGGCCGGUACACUAAUUGCAUUUCUUGAUUAUAUUCUCCAGGCCCUAAACGCUGGCAGCUCCCUGCAGAAACAUCACAGAGGUCUCAAAAGCGGCUUUGAGGCUUUUCAGAGGCUCCUUGACGAUCCUUUGGAGCCCAGAUGAGAAGACUGAGCCUCAGGGAAAUAGUCAGGGUCUCCUGAGGACACACAGCUGGAGAGUCGCAGGGAAGGCACUCGAACUAGACCCGGGCGUCUAGGAGGCCCAUGCUGGUCCUGCCUCGGCUGAUUCUCCAGGCUGACUCCUUCACAUCCUGACAGUUACCUCUUCAGAGGGGCCUUCCCCAGCCAUUCCUCCUGCAUAAGUCCCUGGCAUUCUUUGUCACUGCUCCAGCCCUUCUCCCUUCAGAGAACUGAUCACAAUCUGCAAUUCUACGUUCCGCUCUUCACAAAAUAAUAUGAAGCCAUCACUUAUUGAAGAAAUAUUAUUCUGAUAUGAUUUCAAGCACUUCUCCUGUAUUAUCUCAUUACCUCUCAUAUCGGUCUCAUGAAGUCAGCACUUAGCCAUCGACGUACUCUAUUUUACUUCUUU